UACGUAGGGUGCUAGCGUUGUUCGGAAUCAUUGGGCGUAAAGCGCGUGUAGGUGGUUAUCUAAGUCAGAUGUGAAAUCCCUAGGCUCAACCAAGGAAGUGCAUUUGAAACUAGUUAACUAGAAGAUGGUAGAGGAGGGUGGAAUUCCAGGUGUAGAGGUGAAAUUCGUAGAUAUCUGGAGGAAUACCGGUGGCGAAGGCGGCCUUCUGGACCAUCCUUGACACUAAGACGCGAAAGCGUGGGUAGCAAACAGG
rnacentral:rRNA from 1 species